rnacentral:rRNA from 1 species
GAUGAACGCUGGCGGCGUGCUUAACACAUGCAAGUCGAACGAAGCACUUUAUUUGAUUUCUUCGGAAUGAAGAUUUUGUGACUGAGUGGCGGACGGGUGAGUAACGCGUGGGUAACCUGCCUCAUACAGGGGGAUAACAGUUGGAAACGACUGCUAAUACCGCAUAAGCGCACAGGGUCGCAUGACCUGGUGUGAAAAACUCCGGUGGUAUGAGAUGGACCCGCGUCUGAUUAGCCAGUUGGUGGGGUAACGGCCUACCAAAGCAACGAUCAGUAGCCGACCUGAGAGGGUGACCGGCCACAUUGGGACUGAGACACGGCCCAAACUCCUACGGGAGGCAGCAGUGGGGAAUAUUGCACAAUGGGGGAAACCCUGAUGCAGCGACGCCGCGUGAGCGAAGAAGUAUUUCGGUAUGUAAAGCUCUAUCAACAGGGAAGAAGAAAUGACGG